GGCCGAAAGGGAGCCGCCUACCUCCCUUGCCAAAUCCCUGGGGCUGAUAGAGAUGGCGGGCGGAAGGCCGGCCAAUAAGGCUCCCGGAACCAGGCUGGGCGGGACCCCGGGGGUGCCUUCCUGGGUUGGGUGGACCAGUCCCCGGUUCGCCGGGUCCUGCGCAGCAAUGCGUCUGCUUGCUGGUGGAAUUCGCCAGCCGCCAGCCUCGCUGGCCCAGGUGCUUGACAGCAUCAAAGGUCAAAGUGUGUUCUUCAUGCUAAAAUCUAUGACAAAACCGAACGCUUCUUUUUCCGAAAGUGCUCAGAUCUAUUCUGCUGAAUAUCGGUUCGUACGAACGACAGCCGCAUUACAGUUUAUUGUCACAUCAAAAGGGAAAGGCCAAAAAAUAUAUAACUUAGGCAGGAUUUUUGAAACUUUAUUGAAACUCGAAAGACAAACUGCUGUCUCUUCCUCCAGUGAUGUUCUUCCUCCCUCAAUCUCUACCUUCCCCAAAAUGAUGUACAUACAGCCCUUAGAUGAGAAAACGUUUAUUGAAGAUGGUUGUCUCAACUUCCAAACCUUCAGCCUUGUCUCUCCGCUCAACCUUUUUUUAAAAAUAAAACUUCAUCUGAUUUUAAUCGACUAUUGCCAUCAUCGUCGAUAAAUGUUUCUUGACAGAAUACUGCUGAUUCUGAGAAUUGGGAAAGAAAGAAAUUGUCCAGAUAGUUCUCUGAUAUACUUGGGAAGGACAUACAUCUUUAUUUAUUUAUUCAUUUAUUUAUUUAUUCAAUAAUGGUGUAAUGUGACAUGUGCUAAAUUUCUAAAUGAAAGGUGUCAAUAAUAAGGGCUACAGGAUCCGGGAGCAGGGAGUCAUUUCGGACGGCAGAAGAUGCGUCAGGAGGAAAUAUUCAGACUGAAAGGACUGCAAUAAGUAAAAAGUGGGACGAUGAAAGGGCAGAUGUCUGAAUGGAAUGCUGCCAGGCUUCUUCCAGGAACAACAAAUGAGUGCCUUUUACAUUUGGCAUGUGUUGACUGAAUAAAAGUAUACCACUCUUAAACUUUCAAAUAUCAACACCAAUCCUUGAUGCUUCCCUUUAAGCAUUUUCCGCAAAAGCUGUCUUCCUGAAUCCUGAUUGAUGUCUUUGUUCUUCAUCAUCAUCGAGAUACUUAAAAAUUCAUUUGAAGAAGCCACCUGAUAUCUGGAACAAAGAGCAUAUUAAAUUAGUCCCAAUGCAGCCAUGCAUCCAGGGGGCCCUUGAUUAAUGUUAAUUGGUGAUGACAGCAUCUCUGUCGUGUAAAUUAAGAAUGGCACAAACAAGACACAGUGGAACAUAGAACAAAAGUCAUCUGCAGGAAGGCAGCCCAUCUUACAGAGUAAGAAAGGCACAACUUUGGUUGUGCACACAGCUUUGUUACCACAAAAUGCUAAGGUGAGAUCAGCAAAAGCAAGUGUGUAGAAUGUAGCCUGCCUACUAAACAAGGGCAAUGAUCACUGCAGAAGAGCUCUGCUGAGCAGGGAGUAAAUGACAGGAAAACCAAACAGCAGAUUGUAAAAAUAACUCAGUCACAUCCCAGGCUUGCUAGAGAAGUAUCAUAAAGACUUAAGGAAGAAGAUUUUACUUUGCUAUUGUUAAACAAAAGCCUACCCAAGUUUAAGAGGCAAAGAUAUAGGAAUGGGGAAAAAAAAAGUGACUACCUUAGUAAAUGAGUUUUGUAGCCUGUGUUUUACCAGCUCUUAUCUUCUCUGCUACUGCAGGAAACAGUACCCAGUACCCUACAAAGUUCCACCCAUGUUUUGGGGAGUCCCUAGGAGGUAUUUCACAUGUGCUCGCAGCAACCACAUAGCGUAUGCCGGGCAGCACUGCCCCUUGUUCCAAUAGCCAUGCAUCUGUAGGUGUCACUCUUGCUGCUGGCUAUCACAGCCACUUUAGCUUGGUACUGAGUCUCCACUGGGCACAGCAACUGGGUACAGCCACUCCUCAAACUGCCUGGCAUUGGUGGUAAUCUAUGGCAAAGCACCUCUCCUUUUUGCGUUACCCUCUUUGAAGUGAGUAACACUAUGUCUUAGAGAGCCUUCUUUUCAUUUGUGUUUUAGCCUUUCUCAUCGCCAAAGGGCUCAAAAUGAAGCCCGUGCAGUCUAAGCCAAAAAGUAAUUCCUCAAGUGACAGAUCUCAUGCUAUGCUUCUCUCUUCCACUAGCUAAGGCCCUCUUACUGGGACAAUGGUAUCACACCUGGCUCACUCUUCCCUUUGUUGAUUUCUCUAUUUCUCAUAGGAAUAGAUUUCUGUCUAUUGCUCGUGAGAGACUGAAUUUGCACAACCUCUAUGAAGGGCAUUUUGGCAAUUUGAUCCAGGAGUUCCUCUUCUAUAAAUUUAUCUUACAGAUAGACUCACACAUAUGUGAAAAAAAUAUUCAUUUAAAGUUGUUUAAUGUACUGUUUCUAGUUACAAAAGGUUGAAAACUACCUAAAUGUCCAUUUAGAGAGAACUAGUCAAAUACAUUACGGUUCAUCCAAAUCCAAAGAGUAGCGCAGGUUGUUCUGCUCCUUUGGGCCUUCUGAUCCUGCAUGGAUAUGUUAGGUCCAGCUAGGAAAACAGACCCUACACAAGGCAUUUCAACAAAGAGAACUUAAUAUAAGCUAUUGGUUCAUUAGCUAUUGAAGAACUUAAAGCCAAAAGGAUAAAGAAGAGGAACUCCAGGAAGCAGCUCAUACUGUAAGGCUGAGAGAACAAAAGGAAAAUGUUGAGGUUACUAGAAUGCGGAGGUUUGUAGGAGAGGCCUCCUGGAGUUGGUCAGACCGCUGAGAAAGGGCCACUGCCCCACUGGUGGGGUGCCUCUGAGGGGACAAAAUGAGACUCUCUGGGAACGUCUGGAAAAGAGACAAGCUGGAGACUGCAAUGAACUGCCACUGUGGGGUAGAAGAUCACUGUUCAGGUGCUGCGGGGAGGAACAGCAAGCAAAACAGAGCAUCCCAGUCUUUCCCUAGCUUCCUUUCUUGGCAAACAUAACAGGGAGCUGGCCAUGUGAUUUGCAGAGUCUGAAGGGUGAGACUAGAACUGACAUGCAACAGCUUAUUAACUUGCACACUUCCAUACAACCCCUAACAAGCAAGAAGCACCUCUUUAUGAGCUAACAUAGAAGACUCUCAAAGAAAAGAAGCAAGGCUUAGAAGACUGUUUAUGGUAUACCAUCAGUUGAAAUAAAAGAAAGACGAGUGAAUAAAAGAAAGAAAAAACUGUCCUAUGAUGUCGCAUAAUGAUGUCAUUCACAGGCACUUACUCCCUCACUCAUGAGUCCAACUCCAUUAGCGGCAGCUAUAAAGAAAAGAGCAUUUUAUUCAGUUUACUGCUGAAUCCAAGCCAGAUGUUCCUUGAGAAGAUUCAACUAACAUUGCUGAAGAUCGGUUCCCAAAAAGGUAUUAGCUGAUUUUUCCUCCUAUGAAUGAAUUUCUGAUUGCACAACUAAAAAAAAUGACAAUUAAAUCCAUGGAUUCUGUCUGAGAAGCAAAAUUGCUGAUACUUCACAUUAAUGUCAGUAAGAAUCGAAUAAAUAGGUUCUAUGAUUAAGACUUAGCAAUGAGCCAAGUGCAAUUUGCCCUCCAGACUUUUAGCCGUGAAAUGCCUUUGUUGACAAGGGAGUGUCUGGCUUUUGAAUCAGUGGGGCACCUUUUGGAGGGACUCCAGGUUCUCUUGACAACAGGACUUUUUUUUUUCUCUCUUUUUGGUGAGCCGAAAGGACUCCUCACCAUACAAGGCCACGGCUGAGUAAAGUAAUUCUCAGUAAGGCAUAAACCACUGGCAAGCCUCACAUACCAUAAUAAUAAUGUUGUACUGCAGCUGAACAAGGUCCAGGGAAUACAUUUGGGGCACAAAAUUUCUUUCAUUUUAAUACCUUCACUGUAUGAUUCUGUUCUAAGAAUUCCCUUUCCUUUUCUUCAUUGAUUAUUUAUUGUCCUAAAUCACCAUCUCUUUGAAAAGUCCUCACAGGGACGCAGAUAUUUUCCAGAAUUGCUAAUUGCUGAUUUGAAAGCAUGAAUUCUCUCAUCUCAUCAAAUCGGAUUCUGUGUCUUAAGGUCAGAUCAGCCUUUCUAAGAAUCUUGUAAAUCUCUACCUUUAUGCCAAAAUAAAUUUUGAAAUAUUUCUUUUAUCACGGGUAAUGUACAUGCACCUGUAAUCCCAGCACUUUGGGAGGCUGAGGCGGGCGGAUCAUGAGGUCAGGAGUUUGAGACCAGCCUGGCCAAUUUGGUGAAACCCCUUCUGUACUAAAAAUACAAAAAUUAGCCGGGCAUGGUGGCACACGCCUGUAAGUUUCAGCUACUCGGGAGGCUGAGGCAGAAGAACCGCUUGAACCCGGGAGGCAGAGAUUGCAGUGUGCCGAGAUUGCACCACUGUACUCCAGCCUGGGCGACAGAGCGAGACUCCAUCUCGAAUAAAUAAAUAAAUAAAUAAAUAAAAUAACUGCAGAUUAAGUC